rnacentral:rRNA from 1 species
UAACGGCGAGUGAAAAGGGAAGAGCCCAGCGCUGAAUCGCUCAGUCUAAGGCUGUUGCGAGUUGUAGCGUAUAGGUGUAGCUUUGUUGUCAUUCCGCUUGAUCGAAUUCCCUUUGAAUAGGGACUUGCCAAAGAGGGUGCUAGACCCGUUCGAUCUGCGUUGUGGCGGCAUUGGUUGCUCCUUGGAGUCGGGUUGCUUGAAAGUGCAGCCUAAAGUGGGUGAUAAACUUCAUCUAAGGCUAAAUAUUGAAGGGAAUUCGAUAGCAAACAAGUACCGUGAGGGAAAGUUGCAAAGAACUUUGAAGAGAGAGUUCAAGAGAACGUGAAAUCGUUAAAGUGGAACCGGAGAGAGUUGACGAAGCUUGUGUGGUGAUGACUUUCGUGAUUGCUUUUAGUGAUUUCGUUUGUUGGAUCUGCUUUGGCUGCGUUGGCAGGGUUGUUGGUGUCUGUUGAAGCGUGUAGUGUUGCCCACUUCGGUGGUGUCUUGCUUGCGUGGAAACUGAUUGCUGGCAACUUCUAUGCC